rnacentral:rRNA from 1 species
GAUGAAUGCUGGCGGCGUGCCUAACACAUGCAAGUCGAGCGGUAAGGCCCUUCGGGGGUACACGAGCGGCGGACGGCUGAGUAACGCGUGGGAACAUGCCCCAAAGUGAGGGAUAAGCUCCAGAAAUGGAGUCUAAUACCGCAUAUGAUCUUCGGAUUAAAGGAUUUAUCCGCUUUGGGAGUGGCCUGCGUACGAUUAGAUAGUUGGUGAGGUAAUGGCUUACCAAGUCUACGAUCGUUAACUGGUCUGAGAGGAUGAUCAGUCAGACUGGAACUGAGACACGGUCCAGACUCCUACGGGAGGCAGCAGUGAGGAAUCUUCCACAAUGGGCGAAAGCCUGAUGGAGCAACGCCGCGUGCAGGAUGAAGGCCUUCGGGUCGUAAACUGCUUUUAUAAGUGAAGAAUAUGACGGUAACUUAUGAAUAAGACACCGGCUAACUACGUAGCCAGCAGCCGCGGUAAU